rnacentral:lncRNA from 1 species
CCCUGUUCAUUUACAUGACAUACAUUCAUGGCUCACCAUGGUUAUGCCAUUGCCAUUAUAUCUUCUUAAUAUUUUUUUUUAACUAUUAUUUUUAUGGACAGAUUUUAUCGUUUCUUAUUGCAUUUUUCAGUAAGUUGUUUUUUUCUGAUUGUUUUAUACCGCUAACUUUCAUUUUUGAAAUUUGAAUUCAAAAUAAAGAUUCAUUUACCCCUUACAGAAUUAUCAAAGAUGGCCUUUUCUCAAUUUUUUUUUCAGUUCUUCUCACUCUUGCUCUUUCCCAUUCCAUCCAAUCAUCUGAUCUGUUUUUCAAAUUUGUCCUUCAAAAUUUAAAUUUACUCAGCAUCAUUUUUCCAUACGUAGCAUCAUUUUUCCAUACGUUAUUACCAUUCUGUCAUAAGUUAUCCUCUCACCUUUACCCAAUUAUUUCUUCUCCUUACUCUUGCUCUCCCUAUCAUUUGUGUGGAUUGAUUGAUGAAGCGGAGCAGAUCGGUGGAAAAAAACUGACCGGCGGCCGCAGAAAACACAUGUAGCGAGACUAGGCAAGCAGAGAGCACAGCAGCGGCACAAGAACACAACGAUAAGAUCUAACCGGUGGCAAGAACAGAUUUGAUGUUCAGGGGAUGUACAUGGCCACUGAGCUUUCAACGUCGGCAGCAGCAGAGACUAAAAGAGGUCACUGCAAAAUGUCGCUGGUCGAUUACUCUUCUUCCUUUCUUUUUGAAGUCAGCAUUUGAUUGAUAGGUUAAUAGCUUUCUUUUUAUUUUAUUUUUUUGUAAUAGUAAUUUUAUAUUCUUUUAACUUGAGAGUGGCGUUACUAUUUCUAAAAUAUUUCUUAACUCUGUCCGGCUGAAAAAAAAAAUUGAAACAUCAUUACAUUGUUAUAUUCCUUGCAAUUGAAACAUUUUUUUGUAAUAUUGUUUGUUGGAGUUAAAUGAUAAAUUAGUAGCUUUUUUUUUCUCUGUAUUUAUGUUGAGGCAUACUUUUUUAGAUAAGCAAAGGAGUAAUCAAGAAGCCAAUUGGAGAGAGGCACACAGAAGAGAUGGAGAUUUUCUGCUACAUUUCUUUUUCUUCAUGGCAUGCUCCUGACAACCAGGGCCCAUUAUACUUUCCCUUUACUCUUAUUUUAAUCUAUAAUGUUAGCUAUGAAGUUAGGUUGUUCAAAGUUUAGAAUCUUUAAAUGUUGUUUACCUUCCAACUUCAUUUAAAAGUUUUAAAUUUUGUGAUCUUUGCCAUGGUUUAUUUUUUUAUAAAUAAAUUGGUUUCGGGUGCAAG